rnacentral:rRNA from 1 species
CACGUAGGGCGCAAGCGUUGUCCGGAAUUAUUGGGCGUAAAGAGCUCGUAGGUGGUUUGUUACGUCUGCUGUGAAAACCUAGGGCUUAACCCUGGGCUUGCAGUGGAUACGGGCAGACUAGAGGUAGGUAGGGGAGAAUGGAAUUCCUGGUGUAGCGGUGAAAUGCGCAGAUAUCAGGAGGAACACCAAUGGCGAAGGCAGAUCUCUGGGCCGUAACUGACGCUGAGGAGCGAAAGCGUGGGGAGCGAACAGG